AAGACCAGUUAUGUAUUUGUGCUUUGAUCUAAACUGUACCAAUGGCAAAAGUGCAACAGGAUGGUUUCUGAGUUACUGGAAAGUUCUUACCUUUUAACAAUGUUCAUUCUUCUAGUUGUCUUGAAAAAUAUCUCCUAGAAAGUCACUACUGAUGAUUAAAUCUCAGUUCAAAUCUUUUAAGUGUAUCUUCACUACAAAAUCAAGAAAAUACGGCCAAUUGUUUUUUUAUAAAUUUGGAUAGGUGUCUUUCCUUAGAUUGCUUAUGUCUGACCUAAAACUCUUCUGUUGAAUUUAGUGGAAGUUCAUAAACUCUAUGCUGUUUUCAGCUUUCCAAACAGUAAAAAAUUUCAGCAACAUAUUAAUAAUCCAGUUUCAUGUGACUUUUCUUUUUCAACUAGAAUGAUGUCAGACAUGUGAAUUCCUAAUGAAAUUAAAGAACAGAAGAUUGCAAAUUGAUGGCAAAUAUUUUACAAAACAAUGUCCUUAUAAUAACAAUGGCUGAAUUUCAAGGACUGGGUAAUUAUCUCCAUUAAUAUACUUUUCAUUAUAGAUGCUGAGAAAAAUUGCUCCUGUCACAAGAAAUGACAGUCCUAAUACCAGAUGAACAUACUUGGUAUUUGUGUGCUUAAAAGACAACUAUUUUUCCAGCAUAUUUUAAAGUAUGCUGUUCAUCAGUGUCAUUAAAGUACUAUCAUAAUUUUAUGCUGUAUGUAAGAACAGUUUCUAAUGCUAUCCAGUAUAAGAAUAGUUUAUUUUUGUUUACUUUAAUGAAGAUGUUUCUUCUAAAGAGCAACCAAGACAAGGAGACCUACAUAAAAGAGAUGUGUGAAUUAUUUAAAGCUAUUAUACCAAAUUAGGGAUUUUUAAUGUCAAAGAAAUAUUUUGGAUGCUUUGAUUGCAUUCAUCUUAGUCUCUUUUGUAUGCAUUGAAUAUGGAAGCUGUCAAAAGUGUUGAUAGUCUGACAGAUUUUUUGAGCUAAGUAUUUUCUUUUUUGACAGAACAGUUUGGUUUCUGAGUCCUGCAUCCUUGCUUCACUGAGCAAGGAUGCUGUUAUGUUUGGCUUAGUUCAUUUUGAAGUCUCCAAUGGUCAUAACCCAUAAACCAGAGUGACACGGGGCCAUCAAUCAACAUGCAAAGACUCUUGUCUAAGCUUUGAAUUCUUGAGGCUAUCUUUGCACAUGGUGUUCAGAGUUCAACUUGUGGAAUAUCAAUCAUUUUUAUCAUGUGAUUGUGAAGCUCUGAGAUUGGAGUUCCUGCUCACUUUUCCAUGUUCUGAACAUUUAACUGCUCUGUGACCUACCUGACAGCACUGUUCCUUCAGAUCUCCUACAUGUCAGACCUGGGUUGGAGCACUAUAUUGAGGAAAGAAGCAUUAUGUCUAAAUUAAAUCCAAGGACUACAUCUCACCUGAUGUCACCUACAAUGACCUGAGCACCCACCAGCUGCCUUGUCCUAUCCUUGGUACCUGCAAGAAGGAUAACCUCACAGAGGCUGGCUUUUGCCAUGAACAAAUGUGGAAGGUAGAAGACUGAAAGAUGAUUUUUUCAAGGGCUGAUCACUUCUGGGUAAUCACUUUUGGGCUGCCAAUGGUCAGCAUGGUUAGCUGUGUGUCUGGGAGUGGAUGGUGGCAGUCACCUGUUGCUUUCAGAGAUGAUCUGUUUGAUCAGAUUAACUGCUUUUCAAGCUUUCUGUGUACUGAGCACAACAGUAAAAAUUACAAAGAAAGAUUAGUUGCCUUUGAAUUUGCCUGUAUAUUUCUCCUGCUUUAAACUUCUGAAAGUGUCAGGACCUCUGUCUGGGACCAGAGAUAUCAAAAUUGUCCUGCUUAAACAAUCAACUUUGAAAUUUAGUACACACAUUAUAAAUACACACUUAAAAAAUUACAAUAAAGAGUAAGGAUCUCAUGAAUCUCACCCUGCAUCUAAUGCACUAUCUGGAAAGUUUCCAUUGUUUUUAAAGAAGAUGGAUUUGAGUUGCUGCUUUGAAACUGGAUUGUCUUGCUUAAAUAAAGAGUAAGAAUAUGUAGCUUAUGAAGAAAAAAAGCUAUUUCUGAAUGAGGAACUGUGGUAGAGGAGCUAUGCAUGCUUGUUGAAGGGACUGGAAACUUAAAAUGUUUUGUUGUCUGAAUUGGUUUAUCUGUACAGAGUAAAAGCAAAAGUGUGUGCUUUAUUCUGUGUUGGUCCUCUUUGCACUGAACUGUUUUGGAAUUACAGGCAGAUGUCAGUAGUUUUUCCUGCUAAUCUUCUCUGUAAAUGUCCUUUUUCUUAUCAAAUGUGUACCUUGUGAGUAAAUUUAAGGCAUUCUUAAUACCUGUAUUGAUACUUGAAUCAAUCAACUGGGAGAAAAUAAAAAAUUAUCACUUGCAAAAUUUGCAGGUGCCCCCAAAGCUACUGGGUAAGUAAACAAAGAGAGGGACAAACUAGGCAUACAGAAUGAGUUGGAUUAUUCUGUAAAUGGGUUAAUCUGAGUCUUGGGCCUUUGAAGACAACUGAACACUGGAUUUGGAAACAAAGAAUGAAUCCCUCUUUUGCGAUAGGACACUGUUAUGCUGACACUCAAAAGGUCUGAAGAGGAAGGUACAAUUGGCAGGGUGGGCAUGUCCAUUGGGCAGUUAGCCAAAGAGCUAAUGUGACCU